CUUGACCUCGGAUCAGGUAGGGAUACCCGCUGAACUUAAGCAUAUCAAUAAAGCGGAGG
rnacentral:rRNA from 1 species